UAGCAGCAGGGCGUUGUCUCCAGAUUCUGUUUCUUCAGAUCUAGACACGUCCCUGCUGCGGGAUUGGCUCUUGGACUUUAGAGCAUCCUCCCCAAAUUCUGCAGCAUCAGUUGAGAAAUGUUCCUUCAGUCCGGACACGAUGUAUGUUCAAAACAACAGACAACAUUGUAAUUAUUACUUAAGGUAUUCUGAAGAUAGGCCAGUUUCUCCUCUUUCAACAUUGUAUGAGGUUGAUUAUUCAGAAUUUAGUAUCAAGGAUCUCCUGAAUGAGAGCAGGCCAGAAUCGCCAGUUUCGGUAGCGUCAGAGUAUUUCAGAACAGAAACUGAGGUCUCUGUAAUUGCAGUUCCACCUCCGUCAUGUGCACGACCUUUUACAUAUGCAGACGUUGUCCGUGGCUUUACUCAUGAAAGACCAGCCGAUGCCAUGCCUAAAGUCACGGCUUCAGAGUCUGGACCUAUUUUAGUACUGUCUGAUUCCUUUGAUGAGUUGCCUGACUCCACCACAGCUGAAAUGGCCUUGGAGGUGAGACCAUGUUCACCAGAGUCUAUCGCGUCUUACUGUGAACUCAGGGCUCUUUCUCCUGACUCACCUGUUCCUCAUUUUGACAUUGCCCAAAUUGAGAAUUAUGACCAAUGCUUCAAGCAACGGUCGUACUCACCGCAAUCGAGUGUUUCAGAUUGGGAAGGUCAUGAUUGGGGUCUCCCUAACCUUUUUGAUGAGACCAGACCACUAUCGCCACAAUCUGUUUCAUCAGACAUGGAGCUCGAUCUCUUAUUUAGCAGCAGGGCGUUGUCUCCAGAUUCUGUUUCUUCAGAUCUAGACACGUCACUGCUGUGGGAUUGGCUGUUGGACAAUCGAGCUUCCUCCCCAGAUUCUGCAGCAUCAGUUGAGAAA